UACAGAGGGUGCGAGCGUUAAUCGGAUUUACUGGGCGUAAAGCGCGCGUAGGUGGCUAAUUAAGUCAAAUGUGAAAUCCCCGAGCUUAACUUGGGAAUUGCAUUCGAUACUGGUUAGCUAGAGUAUGGGAGAGGAUGGUAGAAUUCCAGGUGUAGCCGGUGAAAUGCGUAGAGAUCUGGAGGAAUACCGAUGGCGAAGGCAGCCAUCUGGCCUAAUACUGACACUGAGGUGCGAAAGCAUGGGGAGCAAACAGGAUUAGAUACCUCUGGUAGUCAAGGGCUGAAA
rnacentral:rRNA from 1 species